GACGAACGCUGGCGGCGUGCCUAACACAUGCAAGUCGAACGAGGUCCAUCCUUCGGGAGAAGACCUAGUGGCGAACGGGUGAGUAACACGUGAGGAACCUGCCCCGAAGACCGGGAUAACCCUCCGAAAGGAGAGCUAAUACCGGAUACCCCCACCGAGCCGCAUGGUUUGGUGAGGAAAUGGAUUCCGCUUCGGGAGGGCCUCGCGGCCUAUCAGCUAGUUGGUGGGGUAACGGCCCACCAAGGCAUCGACGGGUAGCUGGUCUGAGAGGACGAUCAGCCACACUGGGACUGAGACACGGCCCAGACUCCUACGGGAGGCAGCAGUGGGGAAUCUUGCGCAAUGGGCGAAAGCCUGACGCAGCAACGCCGCGUGGGGGAUGAAGGCUCUCGGGUUGUAAACCCUUUCAGCAGGGACGAAUCAAGACGGUACCUGCAGAAGAAGCCCCGGCUAACUACGUGCCAGCAGCCGCGGUAAU
rnacentral:rRNA from 1 species